GACGAACGCUGGCGGCGUGCUUAACACAUGCAAGUCGAACGGAAAGGCCCUGCUUUUGUGGGGUGCUCGAGUGGCGAACGGGUGAGUAACACGUGAGUAACCUGCCCUUGACUUUGGGAUAACUUCAGGAAACUGGGGCUAAUACCGGAUAGGAGCUCCUGCUGCAUGGUGGGGGUUGGAAAGUUUCGGCGGUUGGGGAUGGACUCGCGGCUUAUCAGCUUGUUGGUGGGGUAGUGGCUUACCAAGGCUUUGACGGGUAGCCGGCCUGAGAGGGUGACCGGCCACAUUGGGACUGAGAUACGGCCCAGACUCCUACGGGAGGCAGCAGUGGGGAAUAUUGCACAAUGGGCGGAAGCCUGGUGCAGCAACGCCGCGUGCGGGAUGACGGCCUUCGGGUUGUAAACCGCUUUCGCCUGUGACGAAGCGUGAGUGACGGUAAUGGGUAAAGAAGCACCGGCUAACUACGUGCCAGCAGCCGCGGUGAUACGUAGGGUGCGAGCGUUGUCCGGAUUUAUUGGGCGUAAAGGGCUCGUAGGUGGUUGAUCGCGUCGGAAGUGUAAUCUUGGGGCUUAACCCUGAGCGUGCUUUCGAUACGGGUUGACUUGAGGAAGGUAGGGGAGAAUGGAAUUCCUGGUGGAGCGGUGGAAUGCGCAGAUAUCAGGGGGAACACCAGUGGCGAAGGCGGUUCUCUGGGCCUUUCCUGACGCUGAGGAGCGAAAGCGUGGGGAGCGAACAGGCUUAGAUACCCUGGUAGUCCACGCUGUAAACGGUGGGUACUAGGUGUGGGGUCCAUUCCACGGGUUCCGUGCCGUAGCUAACGCUUUAAGUACCCCGCCUGGGGAGUACGGCCGCAAGGCUAAAACUCAAAGGAAUUGACGGAGCCCCGCACAAGCGGCGGAGCAUGCGGAUUAAUUCGAUGCAACGCGUAGAACCUUACCUGGGUUUGACAUGGAUCGGGAGCGCUCAGAGAUGGGUGUGCCUCUUUUGGGGUCGGUUCACAGGUGGUGCAUGGCUGUCGUCAGCUCGUGUCGUGAGAUGUUGGGUUAAGUCCCGCAACGAGCGCAACCCUUGUACACUGUUGCCAGCACGUUAUGGUGGGGACUCAGUGGAGACCGCCGGGGUCAACUCGGAGGAAGGUGGGGAUGACGUCAAGUCAUCAUGCCCCUUAUGUCCAGGGCUUCACGCAUGCUACAAUGGCUGGUACAGAGAGUGGCGAGCCUGUGAGGGUGAGCGAAUCUCGGAAAGCCGGUCUCAGUUCGGAUUGGGGUCUGCAACUCGACCUCAUGAAGUCGGAGUCGCUAGUAAUCGCAGAUCAGCAACGCUGCGGUGAAUACGUUCCCGGG
rnacentral:rRNA from 1 species